CAAGAAAGCUUUCCCAGAUAAAUAUAUACGUAGGAUUACCAUGUCCCUGAAAAGAUAUUUUCUUCAUUGUGCCUAUAUAGGAACUCCUUUCAGGGGCUCUCAAAGACAAGCGAAAAGAGGCAGUCUUGUACAGGACGAGCUCUCAACAGUUCAAGGAGCCAUCGAAAUGGGACUUAAAUAUCUUAAUCCCGCUCGAGACACGGUUGUAUGUAUGGCCAGCAGGACAGAUGCCGGAGUUCAUGCAUUAAACACUACCUGCCACUUCGAUUUUUGUCAACCUUUCUACGCUAUUCUUGAACCAGAUGCUAUCACACUCCGUCUCAAUAAAUUUUUCGUAAAAUCGGAUAAUCCAAUCAGAAUUUUAAGUACCAAAAUUGUUCCUGAUGACUUUCACUGUAGAUACAACGCGAUUUCCCGAACCUAUCUCUACCGGAUAAUUAUAGAAGAGAAGAAACAGGAUAAUGAUUUAACUGCAACAUAUUUUAUGCCCAUUGAAGAAACGAACAGAGCUUUUUAUGUUAGUACCAAUAGUUUCAACUUGGAUACCAUGCGAGAAGCGGCAAAGCUAUUAGAAGGUUUUCAUGAUUUCCGGACUUUUAUGGCAACUAGCAAAGACUCCGAUCGAAUAACGAGAAAAAAACUGGACAGCAUUCGAAUCAUUGAGCGCAGCAAAGAACAAGUUGGAGUGUCGUGGCCUUAUAGUUGGCCAGCUGUUGCAGUUCAGAAUAGUAAAGAGCAGUCUCACAGAAUUUUGGAUAUGUAUUUUAAAGGCAAAGGAUUUUUGUACAAACAGCUUAAGAAACAUUUAAACGAUGCCGCCGUUACCCUGAUGAGCAAAAGGCCUAUCCAGCCAGCUGCCUAGGUCUUUGGUUAACUCCCACUAGCUAUUCAACCCAGGUUUUGAUUCUGUGACUAUACAGGUGAGGAGAACUGCAGGAACACUUUUAUCGGCAGGCACAGGACAGAUAUCAUUACAGGAUAUACGCUUUAUGCUUGAAGUCCCUUCUAAGCAUAGUUGGAAUCCAAGAAUAAAGGCAUUACCAGGCUACGCCUUGUAUUUGUGCGAAAUUGAAUACUAGGCUCAAAUAAGUUACAUCUCUACAGAUUUUGCUUUCGAUUAGUUAAACAUACCUAGAGAGAGAUCCACAAUGGUUGGCUCAAGAGUGUACAUAGGAGGGCUACCCUACGGCACCAACGAAAGAGAUUUAGAACGUUUUUUUCGGGGAUAUGGCCGAAUG
rnacentral:misc_RNA from 1 species